rnacentral:rRNA from 2 species
GGACUACUGGGGUAUCUAAUCCUGUUUGCUCCCCACGCUUUCGUGCCUGAACGUCGGUGCUGGACCAGGAAGCCGCUUUCGCCACUGGUGUUCCUUCCGAUAUCUACGCAUUUCACCGCUACACCGGAAAUUCCGCUUCCCUCUUCCGCACCCUAGCUACGCAGUCUCAAAUGCAAUUCCCAGGUUGAGCCCGGGGCUUUCACAUCUGACUUACGCAACCGUCUGCGCACGCUUUACGCCCAGUAAUUCCGAUUAACGCUUGCACCCUCUGUAUUACCGCGGCUGCUGGCAC